CAACUUUGCAAGCUGUCUGGUUCCCAGGCUGGGCUGGGUGAGUACCUCUUCAAAACACACUCAAGCACCACUAGGAGC
rnacentral:pre_miRNA from 1 species